AACCAACAAUGGCCGAAGCAAUUGCUUUCGACAUUGCCGCAGAGCUCAUUAUUAAGUUGAGCUCUCGUGCUCUCUCUCAAGUUGGGCUCUGGUGGAAUCUAGAACAUGAUCUUGACGACCUCAAACACACUGUCUAUCAAAUCAAAGCUGUGCUUCUUGACGCAGAAGAGAAAUCGGUGACUGACAAUCUCGUCAAAGUUUGGCUUGAAGACCUGAAAGAUGUACUUUAUGAUGCCGAUGACUUGCUCGAUGAUUUCUCUACUGAAGCUUGAAAGAUCUAUUGGGUGGGAACAAGCUUACGAAAGAGGUACGCCUUUUCUUCUCAAGCUCAAACCAAUUUGCUUACAGUCUCAAAAUGGGUCGGAAAAUUAAGGCCAUUAAGGCGAGAUUAGCUUCAAUUCAAAGCGAGGCCAACACUUUUCGCUUCAUUCCGCGUGAUCGCCCCGCGGAAAUCUCUUUCGUGACUAAAAAGAGGCAGCAAACGCACUCUUUUGAGCGUGAAGAUGAAAUAAUAGGGAGGGAUGAUGAUAAAGCAGCUCUUCUAAAACUCGUGUUAGAGUUUCAAAGUGAAGAGAAUGUUUAUAUCAUUCCAAUUGUGGGAUUUGGAGGGUUAGGAAAGACUGCUUUGGCCCAACUUGUCUAUAACGAUGAAAUGGUCAAAAAUCAUUUUGAGUUAACGAUGUUUGCUUGUGUUUCAGAUGAUUUUGAUGUGAAAGUUAUUGUAGCAAACAUUAUCAAAUCUGUGACUAAUCAAGCACCUGAUCAAAAUCUUGAAAUGGAUCAAUUGCAAAAACAACUUAGAGAUAAAAUUGAUGGGAAAAAAUAUUUGCUUAUUUUGGAUGACAUUUGGAAUGAGGACCCAGAAAAGUGGUCUAGGAUAAAGAAGUUAUUGAUGGGUGGGGCUAAAGGAAGUAGGAUAAUAGUAACUACUCGAUCUCUAAAGGUAGCGGAGAUUAUUAAUAAAUGUGAAUCCCAUGUUUUGAAAUUGAAAGGCUUGUCUGAUGAUGAUGCUUGGUCUUUGUUCAAAAAGAUAGCAUUUGAGCAAGGAUAUGCAGACUCGACAAAUUCAGCCUUUGUGGAAGUAGGGAAACAGAUUUCGAAAAAGUGUGGUGGGGUUCCCUUAGCCAUAAGAACGAUAGCUGGUACUUUAUCUUUGAAGAAAACUGCAAAUGAGUGGUAUUCUUUCAAAGAAAAUGAACUUGCUAAAAUAUCUCAAAUUGAAGGAGAAAUUCUACCUACACUUAAAUUAAGUUAUGAUCAUCUCCCGUCCCAUUUGAAGCAUUGCUUUGCUUAUUGCCGAUUGUAUCCAAAAGAUUAUAAAAUUGAAGUACAAGCGCUUGUUCAAUUUUGGAUUGCACAAGGUUUCAUAAAGCAAUUGAAUCAAAGUCAAUCUCUCGAGGAGAUCGGGUUUGGGUAUUUUAAAGAUUUAGUUGAAAGAAGUUUCUUCCAGGAAGUAGGAGAAAGAUAUUCGUGGGAAGGACUAACAUGUAAAAUGCAUGAUUUAAUGCAUGAUCUAGCUGAAUCAGUAGCAGGGAUGGAGAGUAGUAUUGUAGAUUCAAAUAAAAUUGCAGGUGAUGUUGGUGAAAAAUGUCGCCACAUAUCAAUUAAACCUGCAUUAAUUCCUUUGUUUAAGGGAAAGAAGUUGCGAACCUUGUUACAUUUUCAAGACAGAAGAACUCAAGAUUUCAGCUAUGAAACUUGGGAUUUGAUAAUUGCAAAUUGUAGAUGCUUGCGUGUAUUGAAAUUGAAUUUUUUAGGUAUUCAAAAGAUUUCACCCUCCAUUUACAAGUUGAAACAUUUGAGGUACCUUGAUCUUUCUAUCAAUAUGGAUCUUGAGAUUCUCCCAAAGAGUAUUUGCAAGAUUCAGAAUUUGCUAGCGCUGAAACUUGAUCUGUGUUUUAGGCUUCAAGAAUUGCCAAAGAAGAUUGAAAAAUUGGUGAAUCUUACCCAUCUUGCGUGUCAUAAUUGUAAUCGCUUAACUCAUAUGCCAUGUGGAAUAGGAAAGCUGAGUUCCCUUGAGACGUUAAGCAUGUUUGUAGUGGAUAAAGAUGGGUCCCAUAACGGUGCAGAUCUAAGUGAAUUGAGAGGGCUUAACAACUUAAGGGGACACCUAAGAAUAAGAAAUUUGGGAUUCGUAAAAAAUGCAAAAGAGAAGUUUAAGGCUGCUAAUUUGAAAGAGAAGCAACAUUUGAGAUCGUUGGAUUUAGAAUGGUACGAUGAUAAUGAUGAUGAUGUUGAGGAUAAGUCACUUGAAGACCUCCAGCCCCAUCCUAAUCUCAAGGAGCUCUGUAUUGAAGGAUGGAGGGGUGAUGCCAAGUUUCCAAGUUGGCUUUCUUUCCUCACAAAUCUCGUCUAUAUUAGAAUACAACGGGGUAAUUUCAAACAAAACCCGUCCUUCGCGCAAUUUCCUUGUCUUAAAGGGCUGGUGAUUUCUAAUUUAACUGAGCUGGAGUACAUGGAUGAUAAUAGCCCAAAAGGAAGUCAAGGAGAACCACAAUCAUUCUUCCCAUUGCUCAAGUUUCUUUGCCUACGGGAUUGCCCAAAUAUGAAGAGUUGGUGGAGGAUGACAAAACUAAUCGAUGAUGAUUCCAACGAGGACGACACAACAGUUAUGGGAACAUCAACCAUGGCAUUUCCUUGUCUUUCCUCUUUAACAAUUUCAAAUUGCCCUUUGACUUCAAUGCCAUUGUAUCCUACACUCGAUGAUGAGCUAAAGUUGGUGAAUACCAGUUCAAGGCCGUUAAAGCAGACUAUCAAGAUGAACAUGAAUGCUAAGACCCCAUCAAGUUCAACCUCUUCUCUUCCUCUCUCCAAAUUGAAAUCUUUCCAUGCAGUCAACAUUGAGGAACUGGACACUCACACGCUACAUGAGUGCCUGCAACAUCUCACCAGUCUCAAAGAUUUAAGAAUAUGGAAUUGCGAGGAGGUUGAUUUAGAGGGCAUGCAAUGGGAAGCCCUUAAGAAUCUGUCUCAUUUGAAUAUUCAUAAAAUUCCACAGCUGGUGUCUCUCCCCCUUGGGCUUCAACAUCUUGUUCAAUUGAAAACAUUAGAAAUUCGUAAUUGCAGUGGAUUGAGGUCACUCUUUCCUGUGUUCCAACAUCUUACUUCCCCUGAAGAGUUUGAAGUAAAGGACUGGAAGAAACCGGAGCUAUCAGCAGCUGGCUUCCAAAUAUUCCAAGAUUAUACAAGCCUACGCUAUCUAACAAAUCUGCCAAAACUUCAUCUCGUUGAUUUGCCCAAUUUAACAUCGCUUCCGGAGGAGAUGCGUUGCCUAACUAAUUUGCAAAUUUUAGAAAUAAAAAGAAUUCCUCAGUUGGAGGAAAGAUGUCGGAAGGACAUUGGCGCUGAUUGGCAUAAGAUUGCUCACAUCCCCAACAUUCGGUUGUAAUCAGUAAGUCAUUGAAGAGUAGUUUGGGGAAAGGCAUUUGUCAACUUCAAUACUUUAUAUGCAUAAAAAGAGGCUCUUGGAGGCGUUCAAAUUCACAAUAUUCAUCUGUUUGGAAUUUCAGCCAAAUUUGUUUUUGAAGGUCCAAACAGGAAAAAAGGAAAUUGCUUUUAGGAAUUAUUAUUGUAAUUGUUAUACACCAUCUGAUCUGAGUGUCGUGUGUUGAAUUUCACUUGCAUACCUAAAAUGAGUUAGGAAAGAGUUUACUUCAUUGUACAAAGGUGAGGUUGCAUCAAGUGUUUGAGGAGUUAAGUUUCAAUCUCUUCUUUGUACUAUGAAGCUCAUAGUGUAUUCAUAUUUAGACUCCUCCAAAAGAUGUCGAUUUCCUGGCUGUAUAUACAUAUGACUUGAGUGUUGGUGCUUCUGUUCGCACACAUCAAACUACAAGUUGAAUAACACACCUUGUAAUUUGUUCUUGUAACCCCCCCCCCCAACCUUGUCGGAAUCUUGAUGUGACGAGAUACUGCAAUCGUCGAAAGGAAGGAAGAACAUGGGCAAUGGCAGGGGUGUUUCUUGGUGAGCUAAGGAAAUCAAGGUCUCCUAGGAGGAUUCUAGCCCAUCAAUUCCCUCUAUAUAGUAACAAUGAACCUUGAAAUUAUAAAUAUCAAUAUGAUAAAAUUGAUCUCGUAUAGACUGAGCAGUGUCCAAAUGUAGAAGAAUACUGUUACUAAAAACAUAACUCCAUAUUUUGUACACAAA